rnacentral:rRNA from 1 species
CCUACGGGUGGCAGCAGUGAGGAAUAUUGGUCAAUGGGCGCAAGCCUGAACCAGCCAAGCCGCGUGAGGGAAGAAGGCCCUAUGGAUGGUAAACCUCUUUUGUCGGGGGGCAAAAGACACGACGCGUGGCGUUCCGAGAGUACCCGAAGAAAAAGCAUCGGCUAACUCCGUUCCAGCAGCCGCGGUAAUACGGGGGAUGCGAGCGUUAUCCGGAUUUAUUGGGUUUAACGGGUGCGCGGGCGGAGGGUUAGGUCGACGGUGAAAUCAAGGGGCUCAACCGCGACGAGCAGUUGAAACUGGUGGUCUUGAGUGUGGUAGAGGUAUGCGGAAUGCGAGGUGUAGCGGUGAAAUGCAUAGAGAUCACGCAGAACUCCGAUUGCGAAGGCAGCGCACCGGCGCACAACUGACGCUCAGGCACGAAAGCGUGGGGAUCGAACAGGAUUAGAUACCCUAGUAGUC